AGGCGGAGAUCGGGUUCGAACCACGGAGGUCAGUAAACUCGCACUCUAACCACUGAUCCAUCUCGCC
rnacentral:tRNA from 11 species